rnacentral:rRNA from 1 species
AUUGAACGCUGGCGGCAGGCUUAACACAUGCAAGUCGAGCGAGCGGCGGACGGGUGAGUAAUGUCGGGGAAACUGCCUGAUGGAGGGGGAUAACUACUGGAAACGGUAGCUAAUACCGCAUACCAUCAGAUGUGCCCAGAGGGGAUUAGCUAGUAGGUGGGGUAAUGGUUCACCUAGGCGACGCGCCCUAGCUGGUCUGAGAGGAUAACCAGCCCCGCUGUAACGGAGCCACGGUCCAGACUCCUACGGGAGGCAGCAGUGGUGAAGAUUGCACAAUGGGCGCAAGCCUGAUGAAGCCAUGCCGAGUGUGUGAAGAAGGCCUUCGGGUUGUAAAGCACUUGCAGCGAGGAGGCGUUACUCGCAGAAGAAGCACCGGCUAACUCCGUGCCAGCCGCCGCGGUAAUAC